rnacentral:rRNA from 1 species
GAUGAACGCUAGCUACAGGCUUAACACAUGCAAGUCGAGGGACCGGCGCACGGGUGAGUAACACGUAUCCAACCUGCCCUUUACUCGGGGAUAGCCUUUCGAAAGAAAGAUUAAUACCCGAUGUAAAGGAUGGGGAGGCGUUCCAUUAGGUUGUUGGUGAGGUAACGGCUCACCAAGCCUUCGAUGGAUAGGGGUUCUGAGAGGAAGGGCCAACACAUUGGAACUGAGACACGGGCCAAAAUAGGACGGGAGGCAGCAGUGAGGAAGAUUGGUCAAUGGGAGUUAGCCUGAACAAGCCAAGUAGCGUGAAGGAUGAAGGAUUAUGGGUCGUAAACUUCUUUUAUAUAAGAAUAUGUAGUAUAUGAAUAAGGAUCGGAUAACUCCGUGCCAGCAGCCGCGGUAAUUC